rnacentral:rRNA from 1 species
CCUACGGGAGGCAGCAGUGAGGAAUAUUGGUCAAUGGGCGCGAGCCUGAACCAGCCAAGUCGCGUGAGGGAUGAAGGUUCUAUGGAUCGUAAACCUCUUUUAUAAGGGAAUAAAGUGUGGGACGUGUCCUAUUUUGUAUGUACCUUAUGAAUAAGGAUCGGCUAACUCCGUGCCAGCAGCCGCGGUAAUACGGAGGAUCCGAGCGUUAUCCGGAUUUAUUGGGUUUAAAGGGUGCGUAGGCGGACUUUUAAGUCAGCUGUGAAAGCCUGUGGCUCAACCAUAGAAUGGCCGUUGAAACUGGGGUGCGUGAGUAUGUUUGAGGCAGGCGGAAGGCUAGGGGUAGCGGUGAAAUGCUUAGAUAU